CCUACGGGAAGCAGCAGUAGGGAAUCUUCCGCAAUGGACGAAAGUCUGACGGAGCAACGCCGCGUGAGUGAAGAAGGUUUUCGGAUCGUAAAACUCUGUUGUUAGAGAAGAACAAGGAUGAGAGUAACUGCUCGUCCCUUGACGGUAUCUAACCAGAAAGCCAUGGCUAACUACGUGCCAGCAGCCGCGGUAAUACGUAGAUGGCAAGCGUUGUCCGGAUUUAUUGGGCGUAAAGCGAGCGCAGGCGGUUUUUUAAGUCUGAUGUGAAAGCCCCUGGCUCAACCAGGGAGGGUCAUUGGAAACUGGAGAACUUGAGUGCAGAAGAGGAAAGUGGAAUUCCAUGUGUAGCGGUGAAAUGCGUAGAUAUAUGGAGGAACACCAGUGGCGAAGGCGACUUUCUGGUCUGUAACUGACGCUGAGGCUCGAAAGCAUGGGGAGCAAACAGGAUUAGAUACCCUGGUAGUCCAUGCCGUAAACGAUGAGUGCUAAGUGUUGGAGGGUUUCCGCCCUUCAGUGCUGCAGCUAACGCAUAAGCACUCCGCCUGGGAGACA
rnacentral:rRNA from 1 species